CCUACGGGGGGCAGCAGUGGGGAAUAUUGCACAAUGGGCGCAAGCCUGAUGCAGCCAUGCCGCGUGUGUGAAGAAGGCCUUCGGGUUGUAAAGCACUUUCAGCGGGGAGGAAGGCGGUGAGGUUAAUAACCUCAUCGAUUGACGUUACCCGCAGAAGAAGCACCGGCUAACUCCGUGCCAGCAGCCGCGGUAAUACGGAGGGUGCAAGCGUUAAUCGGAAUUACUGGGCGUAAAGCGCACGCAGGCGGUCUGUCAAGUCGGAUGUGAAAUCCCCGGGCUCAACCUGGGAACUGCAUUCGAAACUGGCAGGCUAGAAUCUUGUAGAGGGGGGUAGAAUUCCAGGUGUAGCGGUGAAAUGCGUAGAGAUCUGGAGGAAUACCGGUGGCGAAGGCGGCCCCCUGGACAAAGACUGACGCUCAGGUGCGAAAGCGUGGGGAGCAAACAGGAUUAGAUACCCCGGUAGUC
rnacentral:rRNA from 1 species